GAAACGACAAUAAAAAACAUGUGAUUCACUAAGACUGAUGUGGGCCGCAAGAAAAGGAUGUCAGAGACUCAGAGUAUUCGCUGACCGUGAUUGGUUGUAUUGCGAUGAGUGACGUAUUCAGCGAUCGGCGGCCCAAAGCCUAAGUCACCGAUAGUUUAUGGCCCAAUAGCCCGUUUAUAUACAUGAUUUAUAUAUUGGGUUUAUGGCCCAAAACUGGUUACAUAUUGACACCGAGAUAUGCUGCGUUUACUCAAAGACCUUGGAUUUCUCUAGAAAUCGUCUCAACUCUCAACAUCAGUGUUUAUUCUCCUUUGGGUUUUCUCUUGUUCUUACUUCCGGUUCUCUUUCUCUAGAUCUACAGAUUUUCUGUGUGAUUUUCAAUGGCUGGAACUGCAGAGAAACCAAUUUUAAAGCUGACACUUUGUGUCGACCCAGAAAAGAACAAGGUUGUCUUUGCUGACGUAGGCAAAGAUUUUGUUGAUGUGCUUUUUGGUUUUCUGGCGCUGCCAAUGGGUACCAUUGUGCGAUUGCUUGAGAAAUAUAAGCAGAAUCAACCUCCAAUAGGUUGUUUCAAUAAUCUCUACAAAAGUGUUCUUGAUAUGGACAAAGAUGAUUUCAUAACGGAAGCUUCUAAGGGUAUGCUCUUGUAUCCGAGGCACGUGAAAGAGAAGCAAUGCAAACGGCUUAAGCUCAACAUAGAUGAUGAUAUGUGCAAUUUGAUGACGGAGGAGUUUAAAGUACCUGAAGGUGGUUGUGAUGAAUUAUUUGUCACCCCGAAGAGCGCUUUCAUCAUUACCGAAAAUAUGGAUGAAGUAAAACAUGCAUCUAUUAUUCUCGCCAGGAGGACACUUCUAAGACUCGGUUAUAAUGAUUUAUCUAUGUUGAAGUUCAUGUCUGUAGAUGUUAAUCACGAAGAGGCUAUAUCUCUUCUCCAUUGCUUGUUUUCUUCGGAAACACCUUUCACUGAUGUCUUCUUGAAUAAGCAUAUCUCUUGCGGUAUGACAAGGUUGCAUGACAUGCCAACUCUACCCGUGCAAGAUGGAGGUCAUGAAGCUGAAGCUGGAUCAGAUGGAGUUUUGUCACUCACUGUAUUUGUUAGCUAGGAAGCCGGACAUGAAAGUUCUUUAUGCUGAAGGUGGGCAAGACUUUGUCGAUCUACUUUUCAUUUUCCUGGCUAUCCCUUUGGAGUCUGUAUGGGAAAUAACCGGAGGCAAUAAUGUCGAGCUAGGAUGCAUUGGCAACUUUGGAGAAACAUGAAGAGCUUGAGCUCUAGCGGAGGCACAAAUAGUAUGCUUCCUCAGCAUUAUGGUUUCCACAAAUCGCUAAUUGGUGUCGGUUACGAAAGGAAUAAGUUGGACGUGGACGUAGAUGAUGUUGAGGCUAUCAGUCUGUUGAGUGCAAUGAAUACAAAAUCUGACUUGGUUGCUGAACACACGUUACCGGUCAGUAGUGGGUUUGUGAAGAGAGGGUCAACAUUCAUGAUCUCAGAUGAUCUUAUUGUAACAGCUUCAAACUUGUCUUCGACCCUUGGCUUACUAAAGAAGUUGGACACAGACUUGGAUGAUAUCGAGGAACAAGUUAUUAGUAUCACUGGAGCAGAGGCUAUCAAUUUAUUGAAAGCUUCAUUGGUGACAUCCACUCCCUUGACCACUGCUCUCGGGAGCUUACUUCUAAAGAAGCCUAAAGUGGAGAGCCUUUAAGACAUCAAGGACUUUUUUGGGCAGUUUGAUCUUGCAGACAUGCUUUAGUUUCUUGUAACCGUUGGUUCAGUUUCGGAUUCUUUUCUCUCUAUAGUUUCUCAGACGAAUUUAAGGCAUUUUUUAUGCUACCUAAGUAUUUUCUGGUUUUCA